ACUCCUUUUAGUUUUGGCAUGAAUCAUAGGACACCACCCUACCCCGCUGGGGAUUAUUGUCUUCUGUGCAGAAGUGAACGGAAAGACCCUUCAUUCUUAGAGAGUGGAGUUAAGACUUCGAGCAAAUUGGCCCUUUCCAUGGCACCCAAGGGCAACAGCGUGCUGCACCUGCCGCUGUGGGUGUGCCCGGACUGCCGGAGAACUGUGGAGAAGGAGGAGAGGCACGGCGGCCUUGACCAGCCGCAGGGCCAAGAUUUUCUUCUUCACUCACCACUGGGGGGCUCUCAGCCUGAGGCUGGUGGCACAGGGAGGCUGGCUCUGGGCACACAGACACUGCCCUCUACAGGGUUGGGCGCCACGCCCUCGGAGGCUGCCUGCUCCUGCGAAGCCUGCAGUGAGCGCAGAGAAAUUUCGGCAGAGAUGGAUCGGGAACCUCAACAGCUGCAGAACUACUGGUCAGAAGUGCGCUACAUGGUCCGCUGCAUCUACCGCCAGGCGGGGACACCACUGGCAGACGACCAGGACCAGUCUCUGGUACCCGACAAGGAGGGAGUGAAGGAGCUCGUGGAUAGGCUCUGUGAGCGGGACCCCUACCAGCUAUACCAACGGUUGGAGCAGCAAGCCCGGGAGUAUGUGCUAGAGAUGAAGGUCCGCCUGCUUCGGCAGUUGUCAGCUGCAGCAAAGACAAAGGCGCCAUCUGGCCUGCAGGGCCCACCUCAGGCACACCACUUCAUUUCGCUUCUCCUCGAGGAGUAUGGCGCUCUCUGCCAGGCCGCACGCUCCAUCAGCACUUUCCUCAGCACUCUGGAAAAUGAACACUUGAAAAAAUUCCAGGUGACCUGGGAACUGCAUAAUAAACACCUGUUUGAAAAUCUGGUCUUUUCAGAGCCACUUCUCCAGAGCAACUUACCAGCAUUGGUGUCACAGAUCAGGCUGGGGACCACCACACAUGACACCUGCAAUGAAGAUACAUACAGCACCUUGCUGCAGAGGUUCCAGCGCUCUGAGGAGGAGCUGCGCAGAGUCGCGGAGCAGUGGCUGGAGUGCCAGAAGAGGAUUGAUGCCUAUGUGGACGAGCAGAUGACAAUGAAAACCAAACAGCGCAUGUUAACGGAAGACUGGGAGAUAUUUAAACAAAGGCGAUUCAUUGAAGAACAGUUAACCAAUAAGAAAGCGGUUACUGGCGAGAACAACUUCACAGAUACCAUGAGGCACAUGUUGUCAUCACGACUGAGCAUGCCUGACUGCCCCAACUGCAACUACAGGAGAAGAUGUGCUUGCGAUGACUGCAGCCUCUCACACAUCCUCACUUGUGGUAUCAUGGACACCCCCGUCACUGAUGACAUCCACAUUCACCAGCUACCACUCCAAGUGGAUUCUGCUCCCGACUAUCUCUCUGAGAUGCGCCCACCUAGCGUGUCCUCAGCAAGCUCAGGGUCAGGCUCCAGCUCUCCCAUCACAGUUCAGCAACAUCCCAGACUCAUCCUCACAGACAAUGGCUCUGCACCAACUUUUUGUAGUGAUGAUGAGGACGUUGCACCAUUGUCAGCCAAGUUUGCUGAUAUUUAUCCAUUGAGUAACUACGACGAUACCGAGGUGGUGGCCAACAUGAAUGGGAUCCACAGUGAACUGAAUGGUGGUGGGGAAAACAUGGCCCUGAAAGAUGAGUCCCCACAGGUGAGCAGCACCAGUAGUAGCUCUUCAGAAGCCGACGAUGAAGAAGUGGAUGGUGAAAGCAGUGGGGAGCCCCCAGGAGCUCCAAAGGAAGAUGGGACCCUGGGAAACGGGAGCCCCAGGGCAGAGGAAAGUAAAGUGGACACUCCACCCCCUUCUUACCCAGCCCAGCAGGCUGAACAAGCUCCAAACACUUGUGAAUGUCAUGUUUGUAAACAAGAAGCCUCUGGGCUGACAGGGUCAGCAGUGGCGGCUGGAGCCCUUCCUCCUGGCCAUCAGUUCCUGAGCCCAGAGAAGCCUACGCCCCCUGCACUACAUCUGUACCCCCACAUCCAUGGACAUGUGCCUCUGCACACGGUUCCACACCUGCCUCGCCCUCUCAUCCACCCGACCUUGUAUACAGCACCCCCUUUCCCACACAGUAAGGCUUUACCACCAGCACCUGUUCAGAAUCACACAAAUAAGCAUCAGGUAUUCAAUGCAUCUCUUCAAGACCAUAUUUAUCCGAGCUGUUUUGGGAAUACUCCAGAGUGGAAUAGUUCUAAAUUUAUAAGUCUUUGGGGAUCAGAAGUGAUGAAUGAUAAGAACUGGAAUCCUGGCACUUUCUUGCCAGAUACAAUUUCUGGGAGUGACAUAUUAGGGCCAGCACUCUCAGAAGCAAGCCCUGGAACCCUUCCACCUCCAUCUAGCAACGAGGCACCUGCAGUUUCGGAUAGUAAAGAGAAAAAAAGUGCUGCAAAAAAGAAAUGUUUGUACAAUUUCCAAGAUGCUUUUAUGGAAGCAAACAAAGUUGUCAUGGCCACCUCCUCCGCCACAUCCUCUGUGUCCUGCACAGCCACCACGGUGCAGUCAAGCAACAGCCAGUUCAAGGUGUCGUCCAAGAGACCCCCAUCGAUAGGUGAUGUCUUUCAUGGCCUCAACAAGGAGGACCACAGACACUCAGCACCUGCUGCCCCAAGGAACAGCCCCACAGGCCUGGCCCCGCUUCCAGCCCUCUCUCCUGCCUCGCUCUCCCCAGCCUCCACACCUCACCUUGCAAAUCUUGCAGCCCCACCAUUCCCCAAAACUGCAACCACAGCUCCUGGGUUUGUGGACACGCGUAAGACCUUCUGCCCUGCCCCCAUGGCACCCCCGCCCGCCACCACAGAUGGCUCCGUCAGCGCCCCUCCCAGUGUCUGCAGUGACCCUGACUGCGAAGGGCACCGCUGCGAGAACGGUGUCUAUGAUCCACAGCAGGAUGAUGGGGACGAGAGUGCAGAGGAGGACAGCUGCUCUGAGCAUAGCUCCAGUACCUCAACAUCAACCAAUCAAAAGGAGGGCAAGUACUGUGACUGCUGCUACUGUGAGUUCUUCGGACACGGCGGGCCUCCCGCUGCUCCAACAAGUAGAAAUUAUGCAGAAAUGCGGGAAAAGCUUCGUUUGCGGCUGACCAAGAGGAAAGAAGAGCAACCUAAAAAAAUGGAUCAGAUCUCCGAACGAGAAAGUGUUGUUGACCAUCGAAGGGUAGAGGAUUUGUUACAGUUUAUAAACAGCUCAGAGACCAAGCCAGUAAGCAGUACUCGGGCAGCCAAGCGUGCGAGGCAUAAGCAGAGAAAGCUGGAGGAGAAGGCACGCCUGGAAGCUGAGGCCAGGGCACGGGAGCAUCUGCACCUCCAGGAGGAGCAGAGGCGGCGGGAGGAGGAGGAGGAAGAAGAAGAGGAGGAGGAGCAUCAUUUCAAGGAAGAAUUUCAGCGGCUUCAAGAGCUUCAGAAGCUAAGAACUGUAAAGAAGAAGAAGAAGGAGAGGCCAAGUAAAGACUGUCCCAAACUGGACAUGCUUGCUAGAAACUUCCAGGCAGUGACAGAGUCUGUCCCUAACUCUGAAAAUAUUCACAAUGGCUCAGUAGAGCAAUCCGAAGAACCAGAAACCUCAUCUCUCUCCCCUUCAACACAUGUAAACCACUCAGAGCCCAGGCCAGGGCUGGGAGUGGAUGGGGAUACUGCAGACCCUGUUGAGGCCACAGACUCCAAACUCCUCCUCCCUAGGGAGGUCAAUGGGAAGCAGCAUGAGCCACUAGCUUUUUUCUUGGACAUGAUGCAUCACCAUAAAGAGGGAAAUGGGAAACAGAAGCUAAAGCAGACUAGUAAGGCCAGUAUCGAGCCAGCAAGGAAGCCCACAGAGCCCCCCAAAGCCACAGAGGGUCAGCCCAAGCCCCGGGCCCAGACUGAGGCAAAGGCUAAAGUGGUUGAACUCACUUCCCUCUCAGAGCAGAAAAGAGAAGAGAGAAAAGUUAAUAGUAAUAACAAUAACAAAAAGCAGCUAAACCACAUCAAGGAGGAGAAGUCGAACCCAGCCCUUCCGGAGCCCCCAUCUCCCAGCCAGCAUCAGCAGAACGGUCGGCUCAUACUGGCAGAUUCUCCCCAGCCAAAGGGCAAGAAUAAGAAAAGUAAGAAGAAGAAAGGAGAGCGAGCCAGCAGUUCAAUUGAUGAUGUCUUUCUGCCUAAAGAUAUCGACCUGGACAGUGUGGAUAUGGAUGAGACCGAGAGGGAAGUGGAAUAUUUUAAAAGGCAGCUCCACAGCUUCUACACCUCAAGGGGCUCCUGGACUCGCACCCCAGGAAGCACAAGAGCAAGCUGAGCAGCAUCUUCAUCCAGCAACAGAACGGGCAGGCUCAUGGAGGAAGUUCACAGAGUGUGCUGAGUGGAAGAGGCACUAAGAAGACAUCCACCCAGGACGUUCCCAUCUCUAGAAGCUCACAAACCCACAUGACCAAGCUGCUAUGAGAGAGGCUAAUCACACAAAUGCCAGAACAGUGACUGCACCCCUGGGAGAAGGCAGCAGGGCACUGGGGUUGCCAGCACUGGGGGCAGUCACUUGGGUCAUGCUGCAUCCUAGUGACCUUGUGUGCCUAUUUUUUGUGCCUGGUACAGGCAUGCAGUCUAGAGUUGAUGCAGGCCUGAUGGGGAGGCAGUACAGUCUGGUCUCACCAGGCCCAGGGUCCUUGGGGAACAGCUUGGGUUUACUGCGCAGAAUUUAGAUACCCAUUGGAAGCCUUGGUGUGGCUUAGAUUAGGGUUUUUCAUUGAUUUGCUUUGAACCGGGAUGUGAUUUCUUUUUUUGAGUAUUCUAAUUGCUAUGUAGAGAACAGAGUGGCUGUGGGGAGCGGGUCACACUAAUGGAGACGGUCUGGAAGCACUUGCCAUUUGAAGGAGACAGUAGAGGCAGAAGUAGAAGUUUCCAGAAAGUUUAGAAGUUUACAUCACAUACACAAGGCUUGACCUGCUGUGGCCAGGGAAAAGGAUUCUUGGUUUUUGAGAGAUGGCACCACCCUUCCCUAGUAGACCUCAGCUUUCCCUCUACCUGGGUAGAGACCACUGGCCAGCAACACACAGUUGGGGAUACACAAAUGUCUACAGUUAAAUGAUUGAACCACAAUUUAAGAAAAUUCCAUUUGUCCAUUGGAUGAGAGACACCACCACCAUUCUCCUGUUUCACUUUCAGAUCUGCUACCUAAGUUAGAGUUGGAAUGAUGAGAACUGCAAAAUUACACAAGGGUUUAAACAAAAGAAAAUGUUCUUUACUUCAUUUAAUACGAAGUUGGCCCUUGCUGCCUGAGAAAUGAGGCCAAGUAUAGACUUUCUCAAAAACUGUUUAGUAUGCAAGUUUUAUGGACCAGAACACAGUGAGCCUAGAGGCUGGCCUGAAUCUGUGCAGGGGACAUGUCCUCUGGUAGAGUGCUGUAACCCUGUCUCACUGUCAUGAGUCCUCGUGACAAUGUGAAUUCCUGAGUAAGUUAAGACACGGAGAGAUCCCAGCAUUGUCCUUAGUUUAGGUUAUGUGCCAGCCCCAGCCUCACAUGAAAAUUUUGUGACACAUGAAAAUUAUACAAAGCACGAACUUUAUUCUUUGUGUGAAUAGAACUUUGUUGGUGUUCAGCUGUGCUCACCUGGCUGCCCACUGCUGUUGGGCUCUUGUGGAGGGUGUACACUUGUCACGACUGCUGGCCUGUCACAGAACACAUGGGUCAUCCCCAACAAUCCUUGAUAGCUGUGGCCUCAGGCUUGCCGUGGAGCCCUUCCCAGCAGUUCAUGUGGGCAAGGCUCAGGCAGAGCUGCUUCCAUCUGCCCUCCCAGUUAUGGAUAGCUGUGGCUGUCCCCUUGCCUUCCCAGCUACAAGGACUGAGAUAUGGAGCUAGCUGGUGGCUUCUUUCCUAUUCUCAUGGGGAGCUUAGGCCACACACAGGGCAUGUGUUAACACAGCCCACUCCCUGCCAACCAGUGCCAGAAUUGCCACCCUGGAGUCCUGCCUCAAGACAUCUUCCAGUCCCGUCGUCAUCCUCCCAUCAGUCCUGCCAGUCUAUCUGAGGAGCACGGUUGCAAACCCCACUCCCACUCUGCCCAGCUGCUGCCAAACUGUCACCUGCUCCCCAGCAAGCUGUAUCUGAAGUAGUAGCCUUUGGAUUAAGGAAGCAGUGACCCUCCCAGCCCUUUGUCCUUAUCCUUGUCAUAGCCACAUCAAGAAGGACAGGGUACUAGCCAAUGGUAGCUGAUGAGCCAGUGAGCACCUUCCCGUGAGGAAGCUGAAGGAGGCCUGUAUCCCUUAACAGUGCUGCCUCUGCCUUCCCCCAUGUGGAGCCAGCUUCUUUCUGAAGGAACCCUAGUUGUUCCUGGAGCAUGAGGUGGAAAACAAAAAGCACCAGAGACCACACAGGCCAUGUGGUCAGUGUCCUGAAGAUGGGGCCCCUGCCUCCCAUUCUCCAGGUCAAGGAGGGAGUCCUGGGCUUCAGAUCCCACUCCCUGACUCACACCCACCUCCAGUUCUGCUUGGACUCCGCUAGACAGACCCGACAGAGACUGUCCAUCAACUGGUCCAACUUUAGCUUGAAAAAAGCCACUUUUGCUGCCCACUGAACAAAGACCACAUGGAGAGGGACACGCGGGAGGAGGCCAGGCUAUGCCACUUCAAGAGCUGAGCCCCUCGCCGGCCCCCCAGAGCUGCCGUGUCCACCCAGGACGGGGCAGGGUGGGGCGCCACAGCCUGAGACCCAGACCGAGAACUUGCUGCUCGACCCGCGUUGUAGCUCGUGUGCGUGUAGUCUGUGAGUGAGACUUCUUUGAUUGUAGCUCUGUGCAGUCGGAUUGGAACAGUAGUUCCCGCCAGUUCCUCCCACCACCGCGGCCUCAGAGGUGUGGGCCAUGGCCAGAGAUGAGUGCAGCAUACGCGUGCUCCGUUUGCCUCUGCAUCACGCCCAUCCUGACGUCUGUCCCGCUGAGUGUCGCCAUCCCUCAGCUCCCAUGUGCCCUGCGUCCCAUCAAGGCGGGCUGGGCGGGCAGGCCUCCGUUCUUCAUGAUCUACUGUUUCCAAGUGUACACGUUGCGCUGUUUGUGUUUGAUCCCCUGACUCGUAGCCAGCUUGUGUAAGACCCCUUGCAGAAUGAGAACGUUAAAAACAAGAAAUCCACCCAGUACUCACACCAUCACGUCUGUUCUAGAGCGUGCGACCGUACUGACACGGAGGCCUGCCUGGCUACUUUUUAACAUAUUGUUAAGUAAUAUUAAAAUCAUGUCUUUCUUUUUGAAAGAUGGAAUACAUUAGUACAGCAGGAGA